rnacentral:rRNA from 1 species
UACGUAGGCGGCCAGAUAAGUCUGGUGUGAAAGGCUGCAGCUCAACUGCAGCACUGCACUGGAAACUGUCCGGCUGGAGUGCAGAAGAGGGCGAUGGAACUCCAUGUGUAGCGGUAAAAUGCGUAGAUAUAUGGAAGAACACCGGUGGCGAAGGCGGUCGCCUGGUCUGCAACUGACGCUGAAGUACGAAAGCGGUGGGGAGACAAAUA